rnacentral:rRNA from 1 species
GACGAACGCUGGCGGCGUGCUUGACACAUGCGAGUCGAACGGAAAGGCCCUGCUUUUGCGGGGUGCUCGAGUGGCGAACGGGUGAGUAACACGUGAGUAACCUGCCCUUGACUUUGGGAUAACUUCAGGAAACUGGGGCUAAUACCGGAUAGGAGCUCCUGCUGCAUGGUGGGGGUUGGAAAGUUUCGGCGGUUGGGGAUGGACUCGCGGCUUAUCAGCUUGUUGGUGGGGUAGUGGCUUACCAAGGCUUUGACGGGUAGCCGGCCUGAGAGGGUGACCGGCCACAUUGGGACUGAGAUACGGCCCAGACUCCUACGGGAGGCAGCAGUGGGGAAUAUUGCACAAUGGGCGGAAGCCUGAUGCAGCAACGCCGCGUGCGGGAUGACGGCCUUCGGGUUGUAAACCGCUUUCGCCUGUGACGAAGCGUGAGUGACGGUAAUGGGUAAAGAAGCACCGGCUAACUACGUG